rnacentral:rRNA from 1 species
AUUUUGCGCAAUGGGCGAAAGCCUGACGCAGCAACGCCGCGUGUGUGAUGAAGGUCUUCGGAUUGUAAAGCACUUUCGACCGGGAAGAAAACCCCAGGGAGCCAUACCCCUGGGUUUGACGGUACCGGGAGAAGAAGCACCGGCUAACUCUGUGCCAGCAGCCGCGGUAAUACAGAGGGUGCAAGCGUUGUUCGGAAUUAUUGGGCGUAAAGCGCGUGUAGGCGGCUUUGCAAGUCGGGUGUGAAAGCCCUCAGCUUAACUGAGGAAGUGCGCCCGAAACUGCAGAGCUUGAAUACCGGAGAGGAUGGCGGAAUUCCCCAAGUAGAGGUGAAAUUCGUAGAUAUGGGGAGGAACACCGGUGGCGAAGGCGGCCAUCUGGACGGCUAUUGACGCUGAGACGCGAAAGCGUGGGGAGCAAACAGG